rnacentral:rRNA from 1 species
ACUCCUACGGGAGGCAGCAGUGGGGAAUAUUGCACAAUGGGCGCAAGCCUGAUGCAGCCAUGCCGCGUGUAUGAAGAAGGGCCUUUCGGGGUUGAUAAAGUACUUUCAGUCAGUGAGGAAGGUGGGUAUGUUAAUAGACAUAUUCAUUUGACGUUAGCUGCAGAAGAAGCACCGGCUAACUCCGUGCCAGCAGCCGCGGUAAUACGGAGGGUGCGAGCGUUAAUCGGAAUUACUGGGCGUAAAGCGCAUGCAGGUGGUUUGUUAAGUCAGAUGUGAAAGCCCGGGGCUCAACCUCGGAAUUGCAUUUGAAAC